rnacentral:rRNA from 1 species
AUGCCUAGCUAUAAACUUUGAUUCAUCCGCCCGAGUACUACGAGCAACAGCUUGAAACUCAAAGGACUUGGCGGUGCUCCACACCCCCCUAGAGGAGCCUGUUCUAUAAUCGAUAAUCCACGAUAAACCUCACCAUCUGUUGCUAAUACAGCCUAUAUACCACCGUCCAGCCCACCCUCUAAGGGCCCAACAGCAGGCACAACUACAAACGUAAAAACGUCAGGUCAAGGUGUAGCAAAUAAGACGGGAAGAAAUGGGCUACAUUUUCUAACCUAGAAAAACACGGAAAAGCUUGUGAAAUAAAACUACGAAGGAGGAUUUAGCAGUAAAAAGAAAAAAGAGCGUUCUUUUUAAACCGGCAAUGGAGCGCGC